rnacentral:rRNA from 1 species
GAUUAAGUUAUUAAGGGCGCACGGUGGAUGCCUUGGCACUAGAAGCCGAUGAAGGACGUUAAUAACGACGAUAUGCUUUGGGGAGCUGUAAGUAAGCUUUGAUCCAGAGAUUUCCGAAUGGGGAAACCCAGCAUGAGUUAUGUCAUGUUAUCGAUAUGUGAAUACAUAGCAUAUCAGAAGGCACACCCG